rnacentral:misc_RNA from 1 species
GAAAUGCGAUAAGUAGUGUGAAUUGCAGAAUUCAGUGAAUCAUCGAAUCUUUGAACGCACAUUGCGCCCUUUGGUAUUCCUUAGGGCAUGCCUGUUCGAGCGUCAUUUAAACCCUUCAAGCUCAGCUUGGUGUUGGGUGACUGUCCGCCGCCCCCGGGCGUGGACUCGCCCCAAAUCCAUUGGCGGCCGGUACGUAGGCUUCGAGCGCAGCAGAAACGCGAACUCGAGUCCGCGGUGUCGGCUCCCAGAAGCCAUCUCUUUUAUUUUGACCUCGGAUCAGGUAGGGAUACCCGCUGAACUUAAGC